rnacentral:rRNA from 1 species
GACGAAGGAUGCAAGCGUUAUCCGGAUUCAUUGGGUUUAAAGGGAGCGUAGGCGGCCUAAUAAGUCAGUGGUGAAAUCUUCCCGCUUAACGGGAAAAUUGCCAUUGAUACUGUUAGGCUUGAGUACAGUUGCCGUUGGCGGAAUAUGACAUGUAGUGGUGAAAUACAUAGAGAUGUCAUAGAACACCGAUUGCGAAGGCAGCUAACGAAACUGUAACUGACGCUGAGGCUCGAAAGUGCGGGGAUCAAACAGG